CUUGAACUUUUCAUUCUUCUGCCUCGGUAUCCUUUGUAGCUGAGUUUAGUGUGCAAUAUCACCCCUGGCUUUUAAACUACUGAAGUUUUUCUUGAUAUUUUUUUCAAAUCGUGAGGAGUUGGUUCCAGACCUGGGAUUUAAAUAAGUAUUUUAGUUCUUACAGAUGCUAAACUUCCAACUUAAUCUCAUUUCUGGAUGGAGCUCCGUAAACAAAAAGGAGAGGAAGGAUGGUGUCACUGAGCUAAGUCCCUGGCUCCUGUAUUGGAAAAAAAAAUGUUCCUGUGGCCAAAAUUUUGAAAACUUCUACUUCAGAGCUACCUUAUACUGUAUGUAUUAGUCUGCUUUCCUGUCACUGGGAUAAAGUACCUGACACCAACAAUUUCAAGAGGGAGAUGUUUAUUUUGACUCAGUUUCCAUGGAUGCAGUUCAUGUCUGGUUGGUUCUGAGGCAACAAUGCCAUGGCGGAAGAGCAUGGCAGAGGAAAGCUCUUUACCGAACGGAAGCCAGGAAACAAGGAGAAGGGAAGAGCAAAGGGUAAGCAUACAUCCUUCCAAGUUCAAUGAAAAUAUCAGAUGUCAUAUUUUCUAUGAAAAACUUCAAUUCCAGCCAAUGACACAAUUUAUAUUCAAAUAAAAUAUUAUGAGUAUCACAAAGAAUUAGAGAAUAUAAGCACCUAGG
rnacentral:lncRNA from 1 species